rnacentral:rRNA from 1 species
CAGCGCCACGGUAAUACGUAGGGUGCAAGCGUUAAUCGGAAUUACUGGGCGUAAAGCGUGCGCAGGCGGUUAUAUAAGACAGAUGUGAAAUCCCCGGGCUCAACCUGGGAACUGCAUUUGUGACUGUAUAGCUAGAGUACGGCAGAGGGGGAUGGAAUUCCGCGUGUAGCAGUGAAAUGCGUAGAUAUGCGGAGGAACACCGAUGGCGAAGGCAAUCCCCUGGGCCUGUACUGACGCUCAUGCACGAAAGCGUGGGGAGCAAACAGGAUUAGAUACCCGAGUAGUCCCUGUCUCUUAUACA